UACGUAGGCAGCAAGCGUUGUUCGGAAUUACUGGGCGUAAAGAGUGUGUAGGCGGUGCUCUAAGUUCGGUGUGAAAUCUCCGGGCUCAACCCGGAAACUGCCAUUGAUACUAUCUGUCUUGAAUUCUGUUGAGGUGGGCGGAAUAUGUCAUGUAGCGGUGAAAUGCAUAGAGAUGACAUAGAACACCAAUUGCGAAGGCAGCUCACUAAACAGCUAUUGACGCUGAGGCACGAAAGCGUGGGGAUCAAACAGG
rnacentral:rRNA from 1 species